UAUGCACUGAAACACACAGAAAGCUGUUGGCAGUGGCUCCCUGUUGGGGGCGAGGCCAGCAGUCAGCAACAGAGCCCUGGCCUCCGGAUGGCUGACUGCCAGGCCAGCAGCAGUGGCAGACCCUUCUGCUAAGAUUUGCAUUCUGGGCCCCAGAUGUGGGUUUGCCAAUCUGGAAACCAUUGCACUAAGAGUGAUACCAUGGACAGCUUGAAAAGGGUAAGAACAGACACGUCUGUUUGUGCUAACUGGCUUUUUGUUCUUGUAGGCAGUUGUAUUCAGAGUCAAGUCCACAUUCAAUGUAGAGAUUCUAGGAAGGAGACGACCCUUCCCCUAGAGCUGCUUUGUGCUCUGUAGGUUUCCACUCCCCAGCCCGGCCUGACAUUUACCUCUGGCACUGCGGUGGAGUGAGGGUCCCGAUGGGGGUGCCUCGUGCUGGAAUAAGCGCCACCUCUGCCGAGCUGUAAUGGACACUCAGCCUGGAUUUUGGCAGCGAUAACAAAGGGAUGACAAUAUUAUUUGUGAAGCUAUCUACUCCGAGAACUGUGUGCGUGUGUGUGUGUCUGUGUGUGCAUGUGGGUGUCUUAUUAAUGGCAUUAGUCUCUUCUUGCUGUAUCUUUUUUUCUUUGUCUUUUUAAAUGACAGAAGCCUCUGCUCUAAGAAACGUUGCAAUUCCCUGUCGUUUUAUUGGCAAGUGGCACUUUCUCCUAUGUUCAGAAGCAUACCAAUACACUCUUGGCUUAAAUUACCAGAAGCAUUCAAGCUAAGGAGGGAAUCUUUUCACUAAUACGCUUUUAAAAUCUGAAAUUAGGUUCGUUUUCAGCCAUUUUUAGGAUCAGCUAGAACCACGUGUCUCAAAGGUGUGUUUUAACCACCUGCACCAGGGUCUCAGUGGUCGGGGCAGUGGCGGUGCUUGGUAAAAGUGCAGACCCCAGGGCUGGGAGUGGCAUCUGCAUUUUACACCAUUGGCCAGGGUUCCAGGACUGCCUGGAGUCAGAGAGCCCUGAUCUAGAGCUCGCUGGAGUGUGCUCUCCCGCGCGCCGCGGGUCCAGCAGGGAGGAGCUCUUUGGGCUGCAGGGAGAGGGUUUCUGAGCUAAUACCUGGGGAAGAUCACAGGCUGGCAGAAAAUUGGACCUAAAAUUUUUUAUCAUUUUUGAAGGAAAAGUUUUCUU
rnacentral:lncRNA from 1 species